UUUUUAGUAUAAGUAUGUCCCAUGCAAUACUUGGGAUACACUUAUACCAAAA
rnacentral:pre_miRNA from 1 species